CCUACGGGUGGCAGCAGUGAGGAAUAUUGGUCAAUGGGCGCAAGCCUGAACCAGCCAAGCCGCGUGAGGGAAGACGGUCCUAAGGAUUGUAAACCUCUUUUGUCGGGGGGCAAAAGACGCCACGCGUGGCGUUCCGAGAGUACCCGAAGAAAAAGCAUCGGCUAACUCCGUGCCAGCAGCCGCGGUAAUACGGAGGAUGCGAGCGUUAUCCGGAUUUAUUGGGUUUAAAGGGUGCGAAGGAGGAAGAUCAAGUCAGCGGUAAAAGUGAGAGGCUCAACCUCUUCGAGCCGUUGAAACUGGUUGUCUUGAGUGAGCGAGAAGUAUGCGGAAUGCGGGGUGUAGCGGUGAAAUGCAUAGAUAUCACGCAGAACUCCGAUUGCGAAGGCAGCAUACCGGCGCUCAACUGACGCUCAGGCACGAAAGUGUGGGUAUCGAACAGGAUUAGAUACCCCAGUAGUC
rnacentral:rRNA from 1 species